rnacentral:rRNA from 1 species
GUUGCGGACAGUGUCUGGUGGGUAGUUUGACUGGGGCGGUCUCCUCCUAAAGAGUAACGGAGGAGCACGAAGGUUGGCUAAUCCUGGUCGGACAUCAGGAGGUUAGUGCAAUGGCAUAAGCCAGCUUGACUGCGAGCGUGACGGCGCGAGCAGGUGCGAAAGCAGGUCAUAGUGAUCCGGUGGUUCUGAAUGGAAGGGCCAUCGCUCAACGGAUAAAAGGUACUCCGGGGAUAACAGGCUGAUACCGCCCAAGAGUUCAUAUCGACGGCGGUGUUUGGCACCUCGAUGUCGGCUCAUCACAUCCUGGGGCUGAAGUAGGUCCCAAGGGUAUGGCUGUUCGCCAUUUAAAGUGGUACGCGAGCUGGGUUUAGAACGUCGUGAGACAGUUCGGUCCCUAUCUGCCGUGGGCGCUGGAGAACUGAGGGGGGCUGCUCCUAGUACGAGAGGACCGGAGUGGACGCAUCACUGGUGUUCGGGUUGUCAUGCCAAUGGCACUGCCCGGUAGCUAAAUGCGGAAGAGAUAAGUGCUGAAAGCAUCUAAGCACGAAACUUGCCCCGAGAUGAGUUCUCCCUGACUCCUUGAGAGUCCUGAAGGAACGUUGAAGACGACGACGUUGAUAGGCCGGGUGUGUAAGCGCAGCGAUGCGUUGAGCUAACCGGUACUAAUGAACCGUGAG